GCGGCAUUGUAGUGCAAGUAGUGCCAGAGUGGCUUGCGUCGACAUCGUCAACGAAACAGAUGUUAAGAACCACGACCCUGUACACGACCAUCCAGAUCGGCGCAACUAACGUCUGGCACGGCACCACUGAAAACGGUGGUGGCUUUUGAUCAGCAAAGUGAAUUGGAAAUGACCAGACCAAAUAUGUCACAGAACGGAUAACCGAUGAAGCAGAUUAGUUCUUGAAAGAGGGGCGUUGUACCGGCAAGCUCUACGUGAGGCGCCAAUUGAGGGUUCAAUUGAUAAUCUAAGAUGGCAGUUUCGAGUACUAUGCAAGAAUAUUAUUUCGGAUAGUAGAGACACACGAAACCCGGUAUAAUAAGCAGGGAGUAUAGCAACUUUUCACGUAAAUGACGAUCAUCAUUAUUCUAUUUUGGCUUCGGGCGAUUUUUACCAACAUUACCAUUUGCCAUUACAAUAUUAUUUAGUAAUGGAAUGAGUGCAAUUGAGCCACAAUUUAAAUUGUAUAUUUUGAGAACACGUUUAAAUAUUAUUAUUUUUUACUAAAUAAAUUUCCAGCCAUUAUAGAACUCGUUAUCAUUCUUGCUAACAGACUGGAACUAAUUAUGCUUCAUGAAGUGAACACCGAUAGUGACAGUACUGCAGGCACAGUCACAGCUUACAAAUUAGUGAAUGUAUAUAGUAACUACAUUGUUGUAACUAUACUCAGACCUUAGAACUUAUAUAUCAAGGUAGGUGGCGGCAUUUACGUUGUAGAUGUCUAUAGGCUCUGGUAACCGCUUAACACCAGGUGGAACGUGAGCUCGUCCGCCCACCUAAGCAAUAAAUAAAUAAGAAAAAGAAUCCCUUUGUUAACGCGCUUUUAUUGUCUUCGUGUGUAAGUAUCUAUGUAAUGGAGUAUUUGAACGUGAUUUUCACCCACUUACGGUUUGUCUCUGCUCCUGGCAUUGCUGGGCGACGGUAACCACUAAACAUCAGCCGUAUGCUCCUCUGCCUAUAAGGGCAAUUAAAAAAAAACUUCGAAAUGUCAGAUUGAAUUGAAACCUCGCACACUUAAAGAACGAUAAGAAUACAAUUUUAUAUAAUUGUCUGAUUAUCCUCAGGAUUUUCAGGAUCAAUGACGUGACGGGCAUUUAAAACAGUUUGCUGCCUUCCUUGGAUAUGUCGUCUUUUCUAAAGCUCCUUCUCCAGAAUCGAAUAUAACGCCGGUAGUCACGGAAGCUGUCAUUUGAUAGAAGAACUUGAUUGCUCAGAGUUGACAGGAAGAGUCCCAUGCAAUGGUGUUGAUGUAUUAGAUGAAAUGAUUAGAUUACGAAAUAAAUUAUAGCACAAUCUUUAAUUACUUACUUGGUUUCACAUCUGUACUAAAUAUAAUAAAAACCAUAUUCCUCAUUACUAUGAAAUUAUCAUCUGUAAAGACUACAAAAAAGCAAAAAUAAAUGCCUCUUUAAAUAACUAAAAAAGACUUUUGUAGCUGAAGAAAAAUGUAGAAAAUAAUUUUCUAUGAGUAAAAAAGGGAAGUGACAAAACAAUAAUUUUAUUGUGAAAUAGCAUGGAGUGAUUUUAAGAUAUUUUGAUAAUUUUGUAAUUAUGACUUUACUUUCACCAAUAUCUGUUAAUUAAAUCUUUACAGAAAUUGAUUUCUGGCAUCCCACACAUUUUUUUUCUUUCUUAAUCACUAUUUUUUUAGCUUAUUAUCUUAGCUAUUUUUUUAGUUAAACUACCUAUUAUUUAUUUUAAAUAAAAAAAAGAUAGGGAUUCAA